AGUCAACAGAAACUGGUAGUGGGGAAACCAGGCCAGUACCAGGGCUUAUAUAGGGUUACAAGCAGAAGUCAAGUCCAGAUAGUCCAAACCCCAAAGAGGAAAAAACCAAACAAUCCUGAGUAUAGUCCAAUGCCAAAAAUUGCUCACUAAUAUAGCUAGAAAUUUUAGUCCAAGAAUACAUGCCAAGAUUAGAGAUCCAGAAAGUUCAGGCUAGGUUGCAUGGGUAUUCUGGAGCUGUUGUUCAGAAGCAAUGGAAUGGCUUGGGCUGGACUGAUUUAUAGCCACCAGUCAAUCAGCCCAGCUGGCCUUAAUAACAUCAUGUAUUUAAAGUUGAGCAGGCCAUUGCCUGACCUAUUAUUCACAGUGCUUUAAUUUAUGACAGUUGGCAGGAUGAAGUGCCUCUACCAUCUUCUCCUGAUCUGCAGUUGAUGCCGGGGAUUGAUCAAGCUCUGUCUGAGCCAGUGGCAUAACAGGACUGCUUGCCUCUUUUGUUUCCAACUGGAGCCUGCCAUCUUAGCACUCCUCUUUUCCUUGAUCAUCUAAGGAGGCCUCCUCCAGUAGUCAAGGUCUGCUGUACCAGCUUAGGAUCUCCAUUGCCCCAUCCCGGAUUUGUCACUUUUGAUUUGCUGUCCCUCACUCCUGGAACCAUCUUCCCCCAUGAACACAGGUCACCACUUCAUUGAUGACUAUUAAAUCUGAGUUGAAGACCAACCUGUUAAAGGCGCAAUGUCUGAUUGCUCUGAUGCACAUAAGUGGCAGGGGGAUCACUUUGAGACCUGUGGAAAUGUAGGAUUUAAUAGCCUCACUGGGAGUCAAAAAGCAGAUGUGACUGACCACGUGACCGUUUGUGGGCGG